UGAGCCAUUAUGUGGGUGUUGGA
rnacentral:misc_RNA from 1 species